UACAGAGGGGGCAAGCGUUAUUCGGAAUUAUUGGGCGUAAAGGGCGCGUAGGCGGCUUUGCAAGUGACGGGUGAAAUCCCUCGGCUUAACCGAGGAACUGCCUGUCAGACUGCAUGGCUCGAGACCAGGAGAGGUGAGUGGAAUUCCCAGUGUAGCGGUGAAAUUCGUAGAUAUUCGGAAGAACACCAGUGGCGAAGGCGGCUCACUGGCCCGGUACUGACGCUGAGACGCGAAAGCGUGGGGAGCAAACAGG
rnacentral:rRNA from 1 species